AGUCGAGCGAGCUGAAUUCAAAGAUCCCUUCGGGGUGAUUUGUUGGACGCUAGCGGCGGAUGGGUGAGUAACACGUGGGCAAUCUGCCCUAAAGACUGGGAUACCACUUGGAAACAGGUGCUAAUACCGGAUAACAACAUGAAUCGCAUGAUUCAAGUUUGAAAGGCGGCGCAAGCUGUCACUUUAGGAUGAGCCCGCGGCGCAUUAGCUAGUUGGUGGGGUAAAGGCCUACCAAGGCAAUGAUGCGUAGCCGAGUUGAGAGACUGAUCGGCCACAUUGGGACUGAGACACGGCCCAAACUCCUACGGGAGGCAGCAGUAGGGAAUCUUCCACAAUGGACGCAAGUCUGAUGGAGCAACGCCGCGUGAGUGAAGAAGGUUUUCGGAUCGUAAAGCUCUGUUGUUGGUGAAGAAGGAUAGAGGCAGUAACUGGUCUUUAUUUGACGGUAAUCAACCAGAAAGUCACGGCUAACUACGUGCCAGCAGCCGCGGUAAUACGUAGGUGGCAAGCGUUGUCCGGAUUUAUUGGGCGUAAAGCGAGCGCAGGCGGAAUGAUAAGUCUGAUGUGAAAGCCCACGGCUCAACCGUGGAACUGCAUCGGAAACUGUCAUUCUUGAGUGCAGAAGAGGAGAGUGGAACUCCAUGUGUAGCGGUGGAAUGCGUAGAUAUAUGGAAGAACACCAGUGGCGAAGGCGGCUCUCUGGUCUGCAACUGACGCUGAGGCUCGAAAGCAUGGGUAGCGAACAGGAUUAGAUACCCUGGUAGUCCAUGCCGUAAACGAUGAGCGCUAGGUGUUGGGGACUUUCCGGUCCUCAGUGCCGCAGCAAACGCAUUAAGCGCUCCGCCUGGGGAGUACGACCGCAAGGUUGAAACUCAAAGGAAUUGACGGGGGCCCGCCCAAGCGGUGGACCAUGUGGUUUAAUUGGAAGCAACGGGAGGACCCUUACCAGUUCUGGCCUUCUUGCGUUCCACUUAGAGAUAGGUGGUUCCUUUGGGGGAGGCAGAGCCAGGUGGUCCAUGGCGUUGUUCAGUUCGUUUCGUGAGAUGUUGGGUUAAUUCCCGCAACGAGCCCAACCUUUUUCUUUAGUUGCCUUCAUUAAGUUGGCCAUUCUGGAGAGACUGCCGGGGCCAAACCGGAGGAAGGUGGGGAGGACGCCAAUUCUCCAUCCCCCUUAUGCCUUGGGUUCCCCACGUGUUCCAAUGGCCAGUCCAAGGGGAAGGGAACCCGGGAGGUUAAGGGGAUUUUUUAAAGUUGUUUUCAGUUCGGAUUCCAGGUUGCAAUUCCCUUCCAGGAAGCGGGAAUCGUUGUUAAUCGGGGAUCACCACGCCGCGGUGAAUACGUUCCCGGCCCUGGUCCCCACCGCCCGUCCCCCCAGGAAUUCUCCAAUGCCCAAAGUCGGGGGAUACCCUAUAGGAGUCAGCCGCGUACGUCCGUCAUCU
rnacentral:rRNA from 1 species